CACCUAGGACCUUCCGCGUACAAGGCAACCAUCAUAACCACUACUCAAACACUGUUUGAUAUGCGUCAUGCUAAAAAAGUGACUCCAAAAAAUUAAAUGCCCUAACAUGAUGGAUGAAUGAUGGCGCUCUAAGGUGAAAAAUAUUCCGUUUUUUUCAAAUGUAAUCCAUAUUAAGAUUUAACUUAUUUGGAUGUAAUCUUGUGAUUCAUUAGCUUGAUUGCAAAAUCAAACGGAGCGUCUUAAGAGGGGACUUAGACUUAGCUGAACAAUCCUCUCUGUAUCAGCAAAUCCUACUGUAAGAGCUGAAGGUCAAAAGAGACAACCAGUGACUGAACUCUAGUUACUAUUAGUGAUGAUAUCAGUGCUGAUGUACGCUGCUUAAAUCUAUCUUUCAAAGCUAAAGAGAAUAAAGAAAUAUUUUUUUUCAGUAAGGUUUUCAUAAGAGUUUUAUUUUUAUAAGAGUCUUCACUAAACUGAAGGAUAGUAUUGCAGUACAGUGUCGAACGCCUCCAUUUUCGAACAAUCGAGAAUUUUAACCAAAAAUUGACCCGGAUGUUGUGUCAUAACUCGGUUGCCGAACAAGCCAAUAUCAGUGACUGAGAGUGUGACGUCAGCCCGCGAAAGAUAUAUACGCUAAGAGUUGUUGACUGAUUUUGCCGAUAUUUCUUGCGCUGUGCUAUUUCUUUCCGGGACCCAUGGGACCUUAAAAGGCUAGGGAAAGUAGAAAAGCUGAAAGAAAAAUAGUAGAAGUAAAAAAAAAAAAAGUUUAUACAAAAGCGAAAAUGGCGCUCGUGUUUUAUGUCUGGCUUUACGGUAUGGCUUAGCAAUGUCGUCGAUUUGUACCAUCGUUAAGAACAAGGAAGCAAUAAAAGAAGCUAAGGUCGCCAAAGGAGUGACUGUGAUCACCAAGCAAAUAUCUCAGCCAUUAGAAGAAGUGGAAAAGUUGCUACUGAUGUGAAUCAACGAAAAGCAGUUGGCCAACGACAGUAUUUUCGGAGACUAGUUUGCGAGUAAGCGAAGCCAACAUCACAACUCUCCACCACCGCUGCUUCUGCAAAAGCAUUUCGAAGCCAGCAACCGAGGUCGUCCCCUGAGGGUCCUUCUUGUCGGCCUGUGAGGACGGCAUUAAUGGAUUCAUUUUUCAACAGAAUAUCCAUUUGGGCUCUAGGAUCUUGCCAGCUCAGAAAAAGGAUGAAUUAAUUAUGUCACCACCAGCUUUGUUUUCAUAGAAAAGAACCAACAAAAUGUUCUGGAACCAAUUGGUUCUUUAGCAUUUGAAACAUUUUCAUAGGGACAUAGACCUGAUGUGUGGUUGAUUUAUUUUUUUUGCAGAAGUCAUUUAUCGUUAUCGUUUUCGAAAUACAAUCUUAAAAGUACAUUUUAUAGUACCUAAUACCUAUACCUUGUGUUUUUUGAAAAAGA